AGGGUUUUAGCUGCGCAGAAUAACUCGGAUCGGAUGAAAAUAAAAGGACGACAACAACGAUGCACCGUUUCCGUUACCUCGAUGGAUGUAGAAAACAAUAUCUGCUGUUAGCUCUCAUUGACUGCACUGGCUGUGGCAUCAACAACAAAAGUGGAACAGAAACGGAUUUUUCCGGUAAUCACACAAUUUCGAGAAAGGUAAUCUUUCUGGAGUUGUUUUUUCCAAAAGGCCGCUCGUCACCCGUAUUGUAUAUUGCCAGCUGAUUCGCAGUGUAUACCGAUGAGACAGAGGAAAAAGCAAAGAAAUAAGCGGAAAAAGCACCGUCUGCUUACGGUACAUGCACGUUGUAUUCUGAACAAACCAUCAACGAAGCGCUCAAGAGAUUACAGCAUUGAGCUCAACUAUUCUCAGUACUUACCCUUUGUAUAUUAUAUCACCUCGGAUCUGAACCUUGAAGUAUCAUUAAGCCACCCAGAAGGAGGCCCACGGCAUCACUAAGCCCAUUUGGAUUUUUCACCGAAACUAUAAAGAGUCUUAUACAACGCAAAGUGUCAGCCCCGAUUAAAGGCCUACAAGACGUGUUGUUUGUUGCAAUGGUCUCGGCCGUUACUGCUACCCGUAUCUUAUCACUAUGGUUACGGCCGCUGUCGCUACCAUGUAAACCUGCGAAUUGGAUCCGCACUAACAUUAGCCUGACGCGGUGUACAAAGCUUGGUACCGACAUAGCCAUCUUGCUGGGAAUAAGAGUCUGCGUUUUUACAACUUCUGAAUUUGAACCAGCAAGGGAAACAAAGCAAACACACGCACAAAUCAAUUGGAUAGGCCUUUGACGUCGAAUAUCGAAGGUUUGUCAACAAUCGAUAGAAAAAGAAAUUGUCAUAUUGUUGGAUUAUCAAGGGAUGCUGGCUAUUCACAGGGCGUAAUAUAGCGUGCCCAUAGUCAACCCUUUUACCAAAAAUACCUGGAGAAUAGACAUUUGUUUCCAGGGGCGGACGAUGUGUACGCUUAAAUCAAUGACUGGGUAUUACAUAAUUUGUCUUAAAUACGGUUAAGUUGUCAAUCGUAUGAAAAAGUAUGGAAUUUUAUGUAAACGCCGUGAAGCGAAAUACUUUUUAAUUGCGAAGUGUACUAGUGCAAAGAUCUAAUGGGAAAAUAUUACACAUACGACAAAGUAAUACAUCUUAUCCACCUGGGAGUACAGUUUGCCCAAUAUGCAAGAAGUAGUCAGACGCACAGCAGCUGGCCUACACACAAGACACUUGCAAGCAGUGAGCAGAAGUGGUAGAAAUCUUCAGGUUCUUUCAACGUGUAAUAGUAGAAGACCGACAACCGUGCUGCAUUGGUGAGUGUCGUCAAAACGCAACUAGUUCCGAUGCCAUUCGAUGACUGAAAAAUGUGACAUGCCUUCCAGCUUUACGGAACAAUAUACUCCAAAAAAAAGAUGAAAUAAAACAGAAUUAAGCGAAAGCCACUGGUCUAUCUUAGUCAAAGCUUUCACUGAGAAAUUCAGCAACCCUAUACAUAACACAUAUGAGAGGGUCCAAAAUGCUUCAUCCGGCCCCGU